rnacentral:misc_RNA from 1 species
CCCAAGCUCAAAUGUACAUGAAAAUUUUUUUGUAAAAGAGAGGCAAGAAGAUGGGAAAAAAAAAUAAUAAUCAAUAAUAAGGCCAAAAAAGAUAAAGAAAAAUGGAGAGACUGAAGAUUCUACUGCAAAAAACAGAAUGUUCUCGGGUAUUCAUUGCACCUGCUAUCUGGAGAGAUGCAAAAUCCGAUCAACUGGUAAUGUUGUAACGCGUUUGCAGCAGCUGACAAUUGCCUCCAACUAAAC